CUGUGCCCCAGCUGUUUUACUCACUGGUGUUGCAGUAGAAGAUAUAUUUACACGCACGCACAAGUGUGUGACAAAUGCAAACACUGAUGGGCAGAAGGAACACUCCAGGACUGGUAUCGACUGCAGUUGGCAAACCUAGGUUGAUAAGUUGGAGAUGCUGGGCAUUCCCCCGGAAGGCUGUUGCGACUUCAAUAUCCUCUUCCUUUUAGAUAAAUUGGACCGUGGAAAACUGGAAGGAAAGUACUUCCAAUUGUUCUUCGCAAUCAAAAUUAUGUAGUAAAAUGGACACAUUUCUGCAGGAUAGUCUCCAAAACAUCUACCACGCCAGUAGAGAUGUCAAUAAAAGUAGUCUUCAACUUA